ensembl:lncRNA
CACACACACACACACACACACACACACACACACACACACACACACACACACAAGUAUGUAUGUACUUAUUGAUGUGCCUUUGUGUGUGUGUGUACCUAUUGUGGCAGACUGCAGAGAGGAGUGAGGUGAGUGGUAGGUCUGGCAACCUGCUGGCUCCACCCCCAAGCCAUACAUGGACUUCUUCCCCUUAACGAGGCAGGCCUGAAGGUCAUUAAGUGGGGGUGCUUGCAGGUGAAAGGCAGAGCAGGCUACCACAAGGGGAAGCGAGGGCUGUGUGAACCAGGAAGGCUAGCAUACCACAGGCAGGAUCUGUGGUGUUGCCUGGAAGCGCGGUACGGCCUUAGAGAAAGAGAUAGGUGGAAAGUGUUGGACUGAUUACGGACGGUAUCCUAGAGGAGGUGGAUGACCCUUUCCCACCCUGGGGGUUUAGUUUACUAGAAUCGAAAAGCUGCACGCCCGCUGACUCACCACCUCGCCACCACAGAAGAGGAAGAGACUUUCACUUUGAGACGCUGGGAAAAAUUGAAAAUGAACGCCACACACACCGUGGAGCAACAAUAGCAUCAAGGACGGCUGCUGUUUGUGCGGCAAACCGCACACCUGACAGGAACCAACACGCGUGGGAGGAAGAGGAGGAGGAGGAGGAGGAGGAAGGUGGUAGUGGAAUGUAAAUCGAUCCAAGCGUCUUCACAUGGCCGGUGGUCCCAGGAUGCCUUUGUCAAACUUUUCUCGGUUGUCGUCUGUCCCCGCUUCAUCCAAUUAUAUAUAAACUAGUCCUGUCUGGCAUGCACAUUAUUAUAUGGAGAGGCAUGAUCAGAUGUAUCAACGUGCGGCUGGAAAUGAAUGAGAAAAGCAUGGUUAAUUGACCUUCGAAAGCAGAGUAUGGUCUUUGUCACAUUACCAAUAAUUGCUAGUUGUUAGCAUUUAGCAGCAUGCAUUAUACCUGAUCUUUCUCUUGCAAUAUCUCUUUUAUAUCAUCGUUUUCAAAAGCACUUUAAACGUAUGCACGCUUACGAUAACGGCUUGGAUGUUCGUGUGGUUUUUUGUCAUCUCCAAUCAAUCAAUUUCUCUUUCUUAUUUGCCAAAUUAAAUGAAAUAAUUCGUUCAUAGUCUCAGCCCCUCCGCCUGGAGUAUGUCGCUGAUGUAUGUAUGUUAGCUCUUCCACCAUCCAUCCAUCACCCUGCCAAGUUUGGCAAAUGUCACUAAUUGUUGUUGGCUACAGUGCCUGAGGAACAAUUCAAUGGAUGCUGCCUUAGCAUCCCGCUUACAUACAGUUAAU